rnacentral:rRNA from 1 species
CAGUUAGGAAUUUUCCGCAAAUGGCGAAAGCCUGACGGAGCAAUACCGCGUGAGGGAUGACGGCCUGUGGGUUGUAAACCUCUUUUCUCAAGGAAGAAGUUCUGACGGUACUUGAGGAAUAAGCAUCGGCUAACUCUGUGCCAGCAGCCGCGGUAAUACAGAGGAUGCAAGCGUUAUCCGGAAUCACUGGGCAUAAAGCGUCUGUAGGUUGUUUAGUAAGUCUGCUGUUAAAGACUGGGGCUCAACCCCAGAAAAGCAGUGGAAACUGCUAGACUUGAGUGUGGUAGAGGUAGAGGGAAUUCCUAGUGUAGCGGUGAAAUGCGUAGAUAUUAGGAAGAACACCAAUGGCGAAGGCACUCUACUGGGCCAUAACUGACACUGAGAGACGACAGCUAGGGGAGCAAAUGGGAUUAGAUACCCCAGUAGUCCUAGCCGUAAACGAUGGAUACUAGAUGUUGCACGUAUUAACCCGUGCAGUAUCGUAGCUAAGGCGUUAAGUAUCCCGCCUGGGAAGUACGCUCGCAAGAGUGAAACUCAAUGAAUU